rnacentral:rRNA from 1 species
AGCGAAAUUUAGUAGCGAAGUAGCUGAUUUCACACUGUCAAGAAAAGUCUCUAUCGAGGUUAAAGGUACCCGUACCGCAAACCGACACAGGUGGGUGAGGAGAGUAUCCUAAGGCCAGCGAGAGAACGGUUGUUAAGGAACUCGGCAAAAUGACCCCGUAACUUAGGGAUAAGGGGUGCCACCAUCAGGUGGCCGCAGAGAAUAGGCCCAAGCGACUGU